GCCAUGCCGCCCAAAUUGGAGGCCUCUCAGGUGGUGGAGGUCUUCGUCCGCGUGACGGGAGGCGAGGUCGGCGCGGCGUCGUCGCUGGCCCCCAAGAUCGGCCCGCUCGGUCUCUCCCCGAAGAAGAUUGGUGAGGACAUCGCCAAGGCCCAAGGAGACCGCCAAGGACUGGAAGGGCCUCCGCGUCACCGUCAAGCUCACCGUGCAGAACCGGCAGGCCAAGGUCUCCGUCAUCCCCUCCGCCGCGGCGCUCGUCAUCAAGGCGCUCAAGGAACCCGAGAGGGACAGGAAGAAGGUCAAGAACAUCAAGCACAGCGGCAACAUCAGCCUCGACGACGUCAUCGAGAUCGCCAAGACCAUGCGACACAGGUCCAUGGCCAAGGAGUUGGCCGGGACCGUCAAGGAGAUCCUGGGGACCUGCGUCAGCGUCGGGUGCACCGUCGAUGGGAAGGACCCCAAGGACUUGCAGCAGGAGAUCGAUGAUGGUGAGGUCGAGAUCCCCUCAGCUUAAAGGUA